UACGUAGGGUGCAAGCGUUUGUCCGGAAUUAUUGGGCGUAAAGAGCUCGUAGGCGGUUUGUCGCGUCUGCUGUGAAAACUCAGGGCUUAACCCUGAGCCUGCAGUGGGUACGGGCAGACUAGAGUGUGGUAGGGGAGAUCGGAAUUCCUGGUGUAGCGGUGGAAUGCGCAGAUAUCAGGAGGAACACCGGUGGCGAAGGCGGAUCUCUGGGCCAUAACUGACGCUGGAGGAGCGAAAGCAUGGGGAGCGAACAGG
rnacentral:rRNA from 1 species